rnacentral:rRNA from 1 species
UGGCGGACGGGUGAGUAACGCGUGGGUAACCUGCCUCAUACGAGGGGGAUAACAGUUAGAAACGACUGCUAAUACCGCAUAAGCGCACAAAACCGCAUGGUUUGGUGUGAAAAACUGAGGUGGUAUGAGAUGGACCCGCGUCUGAUUAGCUAGUUGGAGAGGUAACGGCUCACCAAGGCAACGAUCAGUAGCCGACCUGAGAGGGUGACCGGCCACAUUGGGACUGAGACACGGCCCAAACUCCUACGGGAGGCAGCAG